AGUGAACGCUGGCGGCAGGCCUAAUACAUGCAAGUCGAACGGCAGCACAGUGGAGCUUGCUCCAUGGGUGGCGAGUGGCGGACGGGUGAGGCAUACAUGGGAAUCUGCCCAGUCGUGGGGGAUAACGUAGGGAAACUUACGCUAAUACCGCAUGCGCCCUUCGGGGGAAAGCCGGGGACCUUCGGGCCUGGCGCGAUUGGAUGAGCCCAUGUUCGAUUAGCUAGUUGGCGGGGUAAAGGCCCACCAAGGCGACGAUCGAUAGCUGGUCUGAGAGGAUGAUCAGCCACACUGGGACUGAGACACGGCCCAGACUCCUACGGGAGGUAGCAGUAGGGAAUAGUGGACAAUGGGCGCAAGCCUGGUCCAGCGAUGCCGCGUGAGUGAAGAAGGCCCUCGGGUUGUAAAGCUCUUUUGUCCGGGAAGAAAAGCAUCGGGCUAAUACCUCGGUGUUCUGACGGUACCGGAAGAAUAAGCACCGGCUAACUUCGUG
rnacentral:rRNA from 1 species